rnacentral:rRNA from 1 species
UACAGAGGUCCCAAGCGUUGUUCGGAUUCACUGGGCGUAAAGCGCACGUAGGCGGCUUUGUAAGUUAGAGGUGAAAGCCCGGAGCUCAACUCCGGAAUUGCCUUUAAGACUGCAUCGCUUGAAUCAUGGAGAGGUGAGUGGAAUUCCGAGUGUAGAGGUGAAAUUCGUAGAUAUUCGGAAGAACACCAGUGGCGAAGGCGACUCACUGGACAUGUAUUGACGCUGAGGUGCGAAAGCGUGGGGAGCAAACAGG